GCUUUGUAGCACAAUGGAUAGCGCGUUGAACUUCUCAUUCAAAGGUCGUGGUUUCGAAUCCAACAAGAAAUG